UAGUCCACGCCGUAAACGAUGAGAACUAGAUGUUGGGAGGGUCAGCCUUUCGGUGUCGCAGCUAACGCAUUAAGUUCUCCGCCUGGGGAGUACGCCGGCAACGGUAAAACUCAAAGGAAUUGACGGGACCCGCACAAGCGGUGGAGCAUGUGGUUUAAUUCGAUGCAACGCGAAGAACCUUACCUGCCCUUGACAUACAGAGAACUUUCCAGAGAUGGAUUGGUGCCUUCGGGAACUCUGAUACAGGUGCUGCAUGGCUGUCGUCAGCUCGUGUCGUGAGAUGUUGGGUUAAGUCCCGCAACGAGCGCAACCCUUGUCUUUAGUUGCCAGCAUUCAGUUGGGCACUCUAAAGAGACUGCCGGUGUCAAACCGGAGGAAGGUGGGGAUGACGUCAAGUCCUCAUGGGCCUUUAUGACCAGGGGCUACACACGUACUACAAUGGCAUAAACAAUGGGCAGCGACAUCGCGAGAUGAAGCGAAUCC
rnacentral:rRNA from 1 species